rnacentral:lncRNA from 1 species
UCUUCAUCCUGCCAUUACUUCAUCGAUAUUGAAGAGGAGAGGACUAGGUUCUAAGCCAAUCAUACCACCAUGAAAACACAAGAUAACACCAAGUCGACUGAAACCUACCAUGAGCCACACCAACAUUACGUCAUUCUGAUUAAGCGGGUAAUCAUCCUAUUAUGAUAUCAUCAGCACUUCAGUGAAACCAGCUACUAUUUACACUCAUAUGAGGAUUCUUGGAAUUAUUUCUUAUAAGCAUGAUGGUUUAG